UAAUUUUUGUUUUCAUUAAAGUCUGUUUUUUCAUUAAAGUCUAUUAUUAUUAGGGUCAUUUGAAAAACUAGUGUAAUAAUUAUGUACGUGGUAGCUUGAUAACAUUAACCUCGUGUAUGGGCUAGAGUACCCCCCAUCAGAAGACCGGCUGGAGCAGCUGACUUGUUGUCAGUGUUACCAGAAUAAGUAAGAUUAAUAUAGGUGAUGAAGUAAAGAACACCAUACCUACCAUUGAAAACCGUUCCUAACCUAUAAAAAUCGACAAAGUAAAGAAGAAACCCAGAAAUUCAAGGCGUGGGCUGGGCCAAACGAUGAGCAGGACAGGAGGAUGUCUGCACAGAGCCAGGAAGCAAGCAGUCAGACUGUAGAAGGGCUGAAAAGGCGUUCCAGGGGCUGGUUGCAAGUGAGGUCAAGUCAAGCCCAAAGGCAUUUUACCUUUAUGCAAAGUUUAAAUUAAAAACAUGAAUAGGAAUAUCGGACCUGAGGAUUAAAGAUGGGAGUUACGCAGAUUCUGACCAGAACAAAGCUGAGGCAUUGAACAGGUUUUUUUUUU